UGUGUAGGCGGUCCCUUAAGUUUGGUGUGAAAUCUCCCGGCUCAACUGGGAGGGUGCGCCGAAUACUGAGGGACUCGAGUGCGGGAGAGGAAAGUGGAAUUCCUGGUGUAGCGGUGAAAUGCGUAGAUAUCAGGAGGAACACCGGUGGUGUAGACGGCUUUCUGGACCGUAACUGACGCUGAGACACGAAAGCGUGGGUAGCAAACAGGAUUAGAUACCCUGGUAGUCCACGCCCUAAACGAUGCAUAUUUGGUGUGGGUCAUUCAGUUGAUCCGUGCCGGAGCUAACGCGUUAAAUAUGCCGCCUGGGGAGUACAGUCGCAAGGCUGAA
rnacentral:rRNA from 1 species